UGGAAACCUGCCUCUGUCACUUCCCAACGCACGCCUUCCUGCCGGCCGCCGCACCAUCCAUGCAUGCCUCACUGGCCUCCGUGCUGUCUUGGUGCAUGGCUUGUUCCGCCACGGUGCACUCUCAGUAACUUACACCCUGCCUCAAGUGAUGAGUUGCUGCUACACUGGUGUUGUGGGCCUGAGUCAUCUGGACGUGCAUUGUGCUCACUGCUGCUUUGCUGAGUUUUGGUCCGUGCAUUAUCCGUCGUCAAAACAUUGUUUCCUGCUUCACCGUUCGUGUGACUGGCACCGAAGCUAGCGGCAGUGGCGGGCGCAAACACCUGCUUUUAAUGUUGGUCUGGCGUGAUCGUGAAUGAAUGUAAUCGUGUAUUAAUGGGCGUGACUGUAACCAUGUAUUAAUGUGUAUGUUCAUUAAUUGUUAUUUGUGUCUUGUGGUGUUGCUGUUGGUUUAUGAUUUUGGCACUGGUAGAAGACCACCUCUGUUGCUGCAGAUCACCUGUGAUUGCGGUACCCUACCACGUGUGUGUGUGUGUGUGUGUGUGUGUGUGUGUGUGUGUGUGUGUGUGUGUUUACCAUUUAUUAUUUUGUUCCCAGGAGCUGAGAGCCCAAAGGGAGGGUAGAAGUACCCCUGAGGUGUGUGUGUGUGUGUGUGUGUGUUGCCUCCUGGGAUUCCCCCCUGGCCUAUGGUGAUCUGCCUCCCCCACGGUCAGCCACCCACCACUGACAGAGUGAACCCCCCCCCCCCAUCUACCUCCCUACCUGCCUGGAUACGUCUGUCUCUGACACACACACACUGGGCCUGCCAUUCCGGGUGCAAACGUGCAGUUAGCGUGCUGACACAACCUGUGAGAAUCUCUGGGUACCUGAAGGGGAUGACAACUCGUCUUUGACCUAUUCUUCACUGACAUACAUACAUCUGUUUCUUUCUUUGCUUUAAAGAAGGCUACACCUGGCACCUGGUUACCUCUGGCAACAUCUAAAUGAUUUAUAAACACUCCAGCCAGUGUCCUCAAGAGCCUCUGUGUGGAGUAGAGUUGGGUAGAAUCAGACAGCGGCUCCACUCGUGCGCUACAGCAUGCCAUCACGCUUCUGUUGGACUGAUGGUGUGCGGCCGGUUCCAGCAGCUCAGCAGCUCCCGAGCGGCUUUUAACGUUAUUAAUAACGAGAUUGCGCCUCUCGGGCCAUCCUGGCGGCCGUGAGCGCAGCGCAGUGCACCACUAAAUCCCCAUUCCUCCUCUUUCCAGGAUUUCCUCUUUAGUUGACAAGCGCAAUGAUGGGAUUACAUGAUUUAUGGUCAGUGCAAAGUGUCGGCUUAUGAAGGCUGAGUCCUACUGGAGAGCAUUUUAUCUUUAUUUGAUUAGGUCCAAUGAAAAUCUGCUACUUUACCCUGUGACAUGGUGGCCCGCAAGUACCGUGAAAUCUGCAUUUAGAGUCAGCGUGACGCGCCGGCCUUUGAGAGCUGAUGCUGACCUUAUUCAUUUGACCGCAUGGCAUCCAGUCCAGUGAUUUUACACUCUAUGAAUUUACUUAAAAUACAGUCUUCUGUGUUUUAUGCCAUAUAUGAUUAUUUUUAACCCAGUUUAUAUCUUCCAACUGACAACAUCUGAUUCGACAGCUAUUGUACAAAUACAUGUGCAUAUAAUAAUGCCAAUGCCAUGCCAUGAACAUGUCAAUAUGUCUGUUUUACAGUAACAUGAUUGUUUUGACAGUGUUACAAAUGGCCUCUGCCCCCAUCAUACACAGCAGAGUAUCAUACACAAAAUCAGUGCUUGAGAAUAUCACUAUGUUAGUGUGGUUCAGAAUAACUUGAUUCGGGGGGGACGACAGUUCCAAGGGCCCUGCAAAGAGGUCGUCAAAGAACAUAAUGAACAACAUUACCAUUAUCACUUGGGGUGGACAUGUUGUUGUUCUUUCAAAGGGCCUAAAAUGUCUAGCUGCACCCUUGAUUUGAGAAAAGCAGGUUAGGCUGAAGGUUUAUGAAUACAGUACAGUGCUGUUGUGCAGUUCAUCAACAUAGCCACCUAUUCACAGAAUUUAGCAUUCUGCUGACACAGUAACACAUUGUUCUUAACAAUGUAAAACGAGCUGUGCCUUUGUUAAUAGUGUUUAAACUUAUUAAACUAAAUGUUGUGUAUAAACCACUCCAGUUUGCUCUAGGUCUAAAAUCAUAAGUAGCUCUGUGAAGUUACUAAACAAAGUAGAAGAGCCAGGAAGUAUCAACACAUUGAUGCAAAUCACAGCUCAAGGUCCCCUUGUAAA